rnacentral:tRNA from 1 species
GGGUCGUUAGUUGGUAGAGCAGUUGACUUUUAAUCAAUUGGUCGCAGGUUCGAAUCCUGCACGACCCACCA